CAGGAACAUGUCUAGGAAACUCAUCAAGGAGAACUGGCUACAUCCCCCAGAUGAGUUCCAAGAUAAGCAGGUUGCCUGUCCCCGUGGAUGCCGAUGUGGUAGCACAGGGACUCUGGCACAGUUUAAAAAGUGAAAUGUGUAGAGAAGAAUCCAAGGGAGAGUCGGACCCUUGUCUCUCCGAGUUGAAGCAGCACCACCAUGGCGGGCUUUCCACGGACUCAUGCCCACUCCAAACAGACCGAAUGGCUGAAGAGUUAAUCUUCAGCUCUGCCACUAUCUGGUCACCAAAUAACUGUUUUCAAAC
rnacentral:lncRNA from 1 species